ACCUGGGUGGCUCAGUUGGUUAAGCGUCUGACUUUGGCUCAGGUCAUGAUCUCACAGUUUGUGAGUUCGAGCCCCACGCCAGGCU
rnacentral:tRNA from 1 species